rnacentral:rRNA from 1 species
UACAGAGGUCCCAAGCGUUGUUCGGAUUCAUUGGGCGUAAAGGGUGCGUAGGCGGCAGGGUAAGUUGGAUGUGAAAUCCUGGGGCUUAACCUCAGAAUUGCAUUCAAUACUGCCUUGCUAGAGAGCUGUAGAGGAGACUGGAAUUUACGGUGUAGCAGUGAAAUGCGUAGAUAUCGUAAGGAAGACCAGUGGCGAAGGCGGGUCUCGUGGACAGUUCCUGACGCUGAGGCACGAAGGCCAGGGGAGCAAACGGGAUUAGAACU